rnacentral:lncRNA from 1 species
UUGGUAAUGAAUCAAGUUUUCAAAUCUUAGUUUUGUGGCCGACGUUCGAUAUCGUUUAACCGAGCUUUCACCAGGGCAAGCGAACGGUGAAAGAAAAGGUCAACCAGCCGUCGUCUCCGGUCAAUUUAUUGAAGUUUUCCAACUUGUCUGCAUCAACGUAUAUCUUUUGGUGUUUUGCUAAGCUAUAUCCAGGUGGUGGUAAUGGUUGUCAACUAUGGUGGGCUUGGUAAAUCACUGUUGUUAAACGAGUAAAUAAUUCUACCGAGCAAACCAAGGUCGUUAAGUAUUUUGGAACGGG